CACAGCCCCCCCACGUCCUCCUCUUGGAACACGCCCCGGCUCUGUCCGUGCAGCCUCCUCCAGUCAGCAGAGGGGUAGCGAGCUGUGCGAGUCUGUACCGCUGCACUGAUUCGCUCCGAUAACGCUGACUUCCGACGGGCUUCCGAAGAAUGAGAAAUCCAACCGCAUAAUCUGCGGGUCCGCACGCACCUGACUGCUCCGGUGCGCACGGUGCACACCGGGCAAAGCAUUCGAGACGGAGCCGUCUUGUCUCUUUAUUCUCCAAGAGCAAUGUGGACAUGCUGUAAGGGUAGCCGCCGUGUCCCGAGGGAAGAUGCCGAGCAGGUACAAUACUCCACUUCCUUUGCAGAUCUAAGAGGGACGUAGAAAUACUGAACAACUGAAAAAGGCUGUAAGUAAGUUUAAAUCUUUAUUGUAGUAACACAUAUUUGGAUAUGGCAAAGAAACUAUUUAACUAAAUUAAUCACAAACAAGGAUGAGUAUUAGUCAUGUAAAAGAAAAAGAUUUACUGAUUUUCUGCUGCUGCUUGUGACCUUCUCCUGUGAGUGGAAGCCAAAAGCUAUAAUGGAUUGGUCCCUCUUGUUUGACAUUGGCAGUCAUGAACUGUCCAAUAUGUGUCAUAUAGAUGAUGA
rnacentral:lncRNA from 1 species